rnacentral:rRNA from 1 species
CCUACGGGAGGCAGCAGUGGGGAAUAUUGCGCAAUGGGGGAAACCCUGACGCAGCGACGCCGCGUGAGCGAAGAAGGCCUUAGGGUCGUAAAGCUCUGUUUUAGGGGACGAAUGUCGAGAGGAAUAAUACGUCUCUCGAAUGACGGUACCCUAAGAGGAAGCCCCGGCUAACUACGUGCCAGCAGCCGCGGUAAGACGUAGGGGGCGAGCGUUGUCCGGAAUUACUGGGCGUAAAGAGCACGUAGGCGGGACUUUAAGUCAGAUGUGAAAGACCGGGGCUCAACCCCGGGGUUGCAUUUGAAACUGGAGUUCUUGAGGGCAGGAGAGGGCAGUAGAAUUCCUGGUGUAGCGGUGAAAUGCGUAGAAAUCAGGAGGAAUACCAGUGGCGAAGGCGACUGUCUGGACUGACCCUGACGCUGAGGUGCGAAAGCGUGGGUAGCAAACAGGAUUAGAUACCCCUGUAGUC